GUAGGGAAUAUUGGGCAAUGGGUGCAAGCCUGACCCAGCCAUCCCGCGUGCCGGAUGAAGGCCCUCUGGGUCGUAAACGGCUUUUGACGGUGAAGAACCGAAAGGGUGCGCCCUUUUUUGACGGUAGCCGUUGAAUAAGCACCGGCUAACUCCGUGCCAGCAGCCGCGGUAAUACGGAGGGUGCGAGCGUUGUCCGGAUUUAUUGGGUUUAAAGGGUGCGUAGGCUGGAGGGACAGUCAGCGGUGAAAAGCAGUUGCUCAACAAUUGUCUUGCCGCAGAUACUACCUUUCUUGGAUUGGGAGGAGGUUACCGGAACGGAUGGUGUAGCGGUGAAAUGCAUAGAUAUCAUCCAGAACGCCAAUUGCGAAGGCAGGUAACUGUACCUAUAUCGACGCUGAUGCACGAAAGCAUGGGUAGCGAACAGGAUUAGAUACCCGGGUAGUCC
rnacentral:rRNA from 1 species